CUCAUCACAUCCUGGGGCUGAAGUAGGUCCCAAGGGUAUGGCUGUUCGCCAUUUAAAGUGGUACGCGAGCUGGGUUUAGAACGUCGUGAGACAGUUCGGUCCCUAUCUGCCGUGGGCGCUGGAGAAUUGAGGGGGGCUGCUCCUAGUACGAGAGGACCGGAGUGGACGCAUCACUGGUGUUCGGGUUGUCAUGCCAAUGGCACUGCCCGGUAGCUAAAUGCGGAAGAGAUAAGUGCUGAAAGCAUCUAAGCACGAAACUUGCCCCGAGAUGAGUUCUCCCUGAGACUUUAAGUCUCCUGAAGGAACGUUGAAGACGACGACGUUGAUAGGCCGGGUGUGUAAGCGCAGCGAUGCGUUGAGCUAACCGGUACUAAUGAACCGUGAGGCUUAACCUUACAACGCCGAAG
rnacentral:rRNA from 2 species